GAGUGGCGGACGGGUGAGUAACACGUGGGUAACCUGCCCUUAAGUGGGGGAUAACAUUUGGAAACAGAUGCUAAUACCGCAUAGAUCCAAGAACCGCAKGGUUCUUGGCUGAAAGAUGGCGUAAGCUAUCGCUUUUGGAUGGACCCGCGGCGUAUUAGCUAGUUGGUGAGGUAAUGGCUCACCAAGGCGAUGAUACGUAGCCGAACUGAGAGGUUGAUCGGCCACAUUGGGACUGAGACACGGCCCAAACUCCUACGGGAGGCAGCAGUAGGGAAUCUUCCACAAUGGACGCAAGUCUGAUGGAGCAACGCCGCGUGAGUGAAGAAGGCUUUCGGGUCGUAAAACUCUGUUGUUGGAGAAGAAUGGUCGGCAGAGUAACUGUUGYCGGCGUGACGGUAUCCAACCAGAAAGCCACGGCUAACUACGUGCCAGCAGCCGCGGUAAUACGUAGGUGGCAAGCGUUAUCCGGAUUUAUUGGGCGUAAAGCGAGCGCAGGCGGUUUUUUAAGUCUGAUGUGAAAGCCCUCGGCUUAACCGAGGAAGCGCAUCGGAAACUGGGAAACUUGAGUGCAGAAGAGGACAGUGGAACUCCAUGUGUAGCGGUGAAAUGCGUAGAUAUAUGGAAGAACACCAGUGGCGAAGGCGGCUGUCUGGUCUGUAACUGACGCUGAGGCUCGAAAGCAUGGGUAGCGAACAGGAUUAGAUACCCUGGUAGUCCAUGCCGUAAACGAUGAAUGCUAGGUGUUGGAGGGUUUCCGCCCUUCAGUGCCGCAGCUAACGCAUUAAGCAUUCCGCCUGGGGAGUACGACCGCAAGGUUGAAACUCAAAGGAAUUGACGGGGGCCCGCACAAGCGGUGGAGCAUGUGGUUUAAUUCGAAGCAACGCGAAGAACCUUACCAGGUCUUGACAUCUUUUGAUCACCUGAGAGAUCAGGUUUCCCCUUCGGGGGCAAAAUGACAGGUGGUGCAUGGUUGUCGUCAGCUCGUGUCGUGAGAUGUUGGGUUAAGUCCCGCAACGAGCGCAACCCUUAUGACUAGUUGC
rnacentral:rRNA from 1 species